GGGGAAUAUUGCACAAUGGGGGAAACCCUGAUGCAGCGACGCCGCGUGAGUGAUGAAGUAUUUCGGUAUGUAAAGCUCUAUCAGCAGGGAAGAUAAUGACGGUACCUGACUAAGAAGCACCGGCUAAAUACGUGCCAGCAGCCGCGGUAAAACGUAGGGUGCAAGCGUUGUCCGGAAUUACUGGGUGUAAAGGGAGCGCAGGCGGGAAGACAAGUUGGAAGUGAAAACCAUGGGCUCAACCCAUGAAUUGCUUUCAAAACUGUUUUUCUUGAGUAGUGCAGAGGUAGAUGGAAUUCCCGGUGUAGCGGUGGAAUGCGUAGAUAUCGGGAGGAACACCAGUGGCGAAGGCGGUCUACUGGGCACCAACUGACGCUGAGGCUCGAAAGCAUGGGUAGCAAACAGGAUUAGAUACCCUGGUAGUCCAUGCCGUAAACGAUGAUUACUAGGUGUUGGGGGAUUGACCCCCUCAGUGCCGCAGUUAACACAAUAAGUAAUCCACCUGGGGAGUACGACCGCAAGGUUGAAACUCAAAGGAAUUGACGGGGGCCCGCACAAGCAGUGGAGUAUGUGGUUUAAUUCGAAGCAACGCGAAGAACCUUACCAGGUCUUGACAUCCGAUGCAUAACACAGAGAUGUGUGAAAUCCUUCGGGACAUCGAGACAGGUGGUGCAUGGUUGUCGUCAGCUCGUGUCGUGAGAUGUUGGGUUAAGUCCCGCAACGAGCGCAACCCUUAUUGCCAGUUACUACGUUAAGAGGACUCUGGCGAGACUGCCGUUGACAAAACGGAGGAAGGUGGGGAUGACGUCAAAUCAUCAUGCCCUUUAUGACCUGGGCUACACACGUACUACAAUGGCGUUAAACAAAGAGAAGCAAGACCGCGAGGUGGAGCAAAACUCAAAAACAACGUCUCAGUUCAGAUUGCAGGCUGCAACUCGCCUGCAUGAAGUCGGAAUUGCUAGUAAUCGCGGAUCAGCAUGCCGCGGUGAAUACGUUCCCG
rnacentral:rRNA from 1 species